AGUGAACGCUGGCGGUAGGCCUAACACAUGCGAGUCGAACGGCAGCACAGUAAGAGCUUGCUCUUACGGGUGGCGAGUGGCGGACGGGUGAGGAAUACAUCGGAAUCUACUUUUUCGUGGGGGAUAACGUAGGGAAACUUACGCUAAUACCGCAUACGACCUACGGGUGAAAGCAGGGGAUCUUCGGACCUUGCGCGAUUGAAUGAGCCGAUGUCGGAUUAGCUAGUUGGCGGGGUAAAGGCCCACCAAGGCGACGAUCCGUAGCUGGUCUGAGAGGAUGAUCAGCCACACUGGAACUGAGACACGGUCCAGACUCCUACGGGAGGCAGCAGUGGGGAAUAUUGGACAAUGGGCGCAAGCCUGAUGCAGCCAUACCGCGUGGGUGAAGAAGGCCUUCGGGUUGUAAAGCCCUUUUGUUGGGAAAGAAAAGCAGCAGGUUAAUACCCCGCUGUUCUGACGGUACCCAAAGAAUAAGCACCGGCUAACUUCGUG
rnacentral:rRNA from 1 species